rnacentral:rRNA from 1 species
UUCUUAUCUUAAUAAAUCAUUUGAAUAUAUUAGUAUGAGUGACAAAAACUAUAUUAAGCGCAAUAAACUUAGUACUGUAAAGGAAAGAUGAAAUAGAAAUUAAAAAAAUAUAAAAGUAUGAUAAAGCAAAGAUUAAUACCUAUACCUUUUGCAUAAUGGUCUAGCAAGUUUAACCUAACAAAAAUACCUAAAGCUGGAACCCCCGAAACCAAACGAGCUACCUUAAGGCAAAUUAAAUAUCUAUCUCUGUGGCAAAAGAGAAAGAAAGACUCACAGGUAGAGGCGAAAAACCAAACGAGCUUGGAGAUAGCUGGUUGCUUGAGAAUGAAUUAAGUUCAACUAAAAGUAAUAUUACCAAUAAGGAUUCAUAAAGCUUUUAAUAUAAUAAACUAGGGUACAGCCUAUUUUAUAAAGGGAACAGCCUAUAAAAAUAAAUAAAGAUAUAAAAUUAUAACAAAGUAGGCCUAAAAGCAGCCACCAGAAAAUAGCGUCAUAGCUUUAUUAUAUAAUUAAACUAUUUUUAUAUACAAUCUAAAUUUAUUUGAAUAAUCAAGCCAAUCUAUUAAUAGAUGAACUACUACUAGAAUAAGUAAUAAGGACUACCUCAUAAUACAUGUGUAAAUCAAAACGAACUAUCAUUGAUAAUUAACGAAAAUAUUUGAUUUAACUAGAACUUAAUUUUUUAAAUCGUUUACCCAACACAGGAGUAUAAAAGAAAGACUUAAAACUUAAGAAGGAACUCGGCAAACCCAGGCUUCGCCUGUUUACCAAAAACAUCGCCUUUUGAUAAAUAAAUAUAAAAGGUCCUGCCUGCCCAGUGAUAAUUAUUCAACGGCCGCGGUAUUAUGACCGUGCAAAGGUAGCAUAAUCACUUGUCUUUUAAAUUAAGACCAGCAUGAAUGGCAAGACGAAAGCCUAACUGUCUCCUUAAGUUAGUCAAUGAAAUUGAUCUUCUCGUGCAGAAGCGAGAAUAUAUAUAUAAGACGAGAAGACCCUGUGGAGUUUUAAAAUAAUAUUAUAUAAAUAUCUUAUAAUAAUGUGAUUUUUAGGUUGGGGCGACCAUGAGGUAAAAAAAACCCCUCAAGAUAAUAAUUAGAAGGACACUUCAAAUAAAAAGUAACACUUAUGCAUGACCCAAAGAUGAUCAACGAACCAAGUUACCCCAGGGAUAACAGCGCAAUCCAUUUCUAA